rnacentral:rRNA from 1 species
UACGUAGGGUGCGAGCGUUGUCCGGAAUUAUUGGGCGUAAAGAGCUCGUAGGCGGUGUGUCACGUCGGCCGUGAAAACCUGCAGCUUAACUGUGGGCGUGCGGUCGAUACGGGCAUCACUGGAAUUCGGCAGGGAGACUGGAAUUCCUGGUGUAGCGGUGAAAUGCGCAGAUAUCAGGAGGAACACCGGUGGCGAAGGCGGGUCUCUGGGCCGAUACUGACGCUGAGGAGCGAAAGCGUGGGGAGCAAACAGG